GAUGAACGCUAGCUACAGGCUUAACACAUGCAAGUCGAGGGGCAGCAUGGUCUUAGCUUGCUAAGGCUGAUGGCGACCGGCGCACGGGUGAGUAACACGUAUCCAACCUGCCGUCUACUCUUGGCCAGCCUUCUGAAAGGAAGAUUAAUCCAGGAUGGGAUCAUGAGUUCACAUGUCCGCAUGAUUAAAGGUAUUUUCCGGUAGACGAUGGGGAUGCGUUCCAUUAGAUAGUAGGCGGGGUAACGGCCCACCUAGUCAACGAUGGAUAGGGGUUCUGAGAGGAAGGUCCCCCACAUUGGAACUGAGACACGGUCCAAACUCCUACGGGAGGCAGCAGUGAGGAAUAUUGGUCAAUGGGCGAUGGCCUGAACCAGCCAAGUAGCGUGAAGGAUGACUGCCCUAUGGGUUGUAAACUUCUUUUAUAAAGGAAUAAAGUCGGGUAUGCAUACCCGUUUGCAUGUACUUUAUGAAUAAGGAUCGGC
rnacentral:rRNA from 1 species